rnacentral:rRNA from 1 species
CUCAGGGAGGUAGUGACAAGAAAUAACAACACUGGAAAUUUUAUUUCUAGUGAUUGGAAUGAUGGGAAUUUAAACCCCUUUCAGAGUAACAAUUGGAGGGCAAGUCUGGUGCCAGCAGCCGCGGUAAUUCCAGCUCCAAUAGCGUAUAUUAAAGUUGUUGCAGUUAAAAAGCUCGUAGUUGGAUGUCUGCUGGAAGCAAUCAGUCCGCCCUAUUUGUAGGGUGUGCACUUGAUGAAUUCUGGCAUCUAUGUCCCAAUAGUAUAGGAUGGUGUAUACCGUCUAUAUAUUGGGAUAAUACCGUUACUUUGAGAAAAUUAGAGUGUUUGAAGCAGGCUAAUUGCCUUGAAUACUGCAGCAUGGAAUAACAAUAUAGGAUUUCGGUUCUAUUUUGUUGGUUUCUAGGACUGAAAUAAUGAUUAAUAGGGACAGUUGGGGGCAUUCGUAUUUAACUGUCAGAGGUGAAAUUCUUAGAUUUGUUAAAGACGAACUACUGCGAAAGCAUUUGCCAAAGAUGUUUUCAUUAAUCAAGAACGAAAGUUAGGGGCUCGAAGACGAUCAGAUACCGUCGUAGUCUUAACCAUAAACUAUGCCGACUAGAGAUAGGAAAAUGUCAUUUUUCUGACUU